CCACAAAUGGUAUCCCCUUUAAAGA
rnacentral:tRNA from 1 species